rnacentral:rRNA from 1 species
CCUGGCGGCCUUAGCGCGGUGGUCCCACCUGACCCCAUGCCGAACUCAGUGAAACGCCGUAGCGCCGAUGGUAUUGUGCCGGGUCUCCCCAUGCGAAGAGCUGAUGAGGAACUGCCAGGC